rnacentral:rRNA from 1 species
AACGAACGCUGGCGGCAGGCCUAACACAUGCAAGUCGAGCGAAGCCUUCGGGCUUAGCGGCGGACGGGUGAGUAACGCGUGGGAACGUGCCCUUUGGUACGGAAUAGCCCCGGGAAACUGGGAGUAAUACCGUAUGUGGUCGAGAGACGAAAGAUUUAUCGCCAAAGGAUCGGCCCGCGUUGGAUUAGGUAGUUGGUGGGGUAAUGGCCUACCAAGCCGACGAUCCAUAGCUGGUUUGAGAGGAUGAUCAGCCACACUGGGACUGAGACACGGCCCAGACUCCUACGGGAGGCAGCAGUUAGGAAUUUUGCACAAUGGGCGAAAGCCUGAUGCAGCAACGCCGCGUGGGCGAAGAAGGUCUUCGGAUCGUAAAGCCCUUUUCUGAGGGAAGAGUAAGGACGGUACCUCAGGAGUAAGCCUCGGCUAACUACGUGCCAGCAGCCGCCGUAAGAC